GUCCACGCCGUAAACUAUGGAUACUAGCUGUAGGAGGUAUCGACCCCUUCUGUAGCGAAGCUAACGCGUUAAGUAUCCCGCCUGUGGAGUACGGUCGCAAGACUAAAACAUAAAGGAAUUGACGGGGACCCGCACAAGCGGUGGAUUGUGUUCUUUAAUUCGAUGAUAAACGACGAACCUUACCAGGGCUUGACAUCCCUUAAAUUUUGCCGAAAGGCGAGAGUGCUUUAUUGAAUAAGGUGACAGGUGAUGCAUGGCCGUCGU
rnacentral:rRNA from 1 species